rnacentral:rRNA from 1 species
GAUGAACGCUGGCGGCGUGCCUAAUACAUGCAAGUCGAGCGAACAGACGAGGAGCUUGCUCCUUUGACGUUAGCGGCGGACGGGUGAGUAACACGUGGAUAACCUACCUAUAAGACUGGGAUAACUUCGGGAAACCGGAGCUAAUACCGGAUAACAUGUUGAACCGCAUGGUUCAACAGUGAAAGACGGUUUUGCUGUCACUUACAGAUGGAUCCGCGCCGCAUUAGCUAGUUGGUAAGGUAACGGCUUACCAAGGCAACGAUGCGUAGCCGACCUGAGAGGGUGAUCGGCCACACUGGAACUGAGACACGGUCCAGACUCCUACGGGAGGCAGCAGUAGGGAAUCUUCCGCAAUGGGCGAAAGCCUGACGGAGCAACGCCGCGUGAGUGAAGAAGGUCUUCGGAUCGUAAAACUCUGUUAUUAGGGAAGAACAAAUGUGUAAGUAACUAUGCACGUCUUGACGGUACCUAAUCAGAAAGCCACGGCUAACUACGUG